GGGGCUCGGGCUCAGUGGCAGAGUGCUUGCCUAGCAUGUGUGAGGCACUGAGAUCGAUUCUCAGCACCA
rnacentral:tRNA from 1 species